rnacentral:rRNA from 1 species
CCUACGGGUGGCAGCAGUGAGGAAUAUUGGUCAAUGGACGAGAGUCUGAACCAGCCAAGCAGCGUGAAGGAUGACUGCCCUAUGGGUUGUAAACUUCUUUUAUAUGGGAAUAAAACGUUAUACGUGUGGGAUUUUGUAUGUACCAUAUGAAUAAGGAUCGGCUAACUCCGUGCCAGCAGCCGCGGUAAUACGGAGGAUCCGAGCGUUAUCCGGAUUUAUUGGGUUUAAAGGGUGCGUAGGUGGAUUGUUAAGUCAGUUGUGAAAGUUUGCGGCUCAACCGUAAAAUUGCAGGUAAAACUGGCAGUCUUGAGUACAGUAGAGGUGGGCGGAAUUCGUGGUGUAGCGGUGAAAUGCUUAGAUAUCACGAAGAACUCCGAUUGCGAAGGCAGUUCACUGGACUGCAACUGACACUGAGGCUCGAAAGUGUGGGUAUCAAACAGGAUUAGAUACCCCAGUAGUC